CACGUAGGGCGCAAGCGUUAUCCGGAAUUAUUGGGCGUAAAGAGCUCGUAGGCGGUUUGUCGCGUCUGCCGUGAAAGUCCGGGGCUCAACUCCGGAUCUGCGGUGGGUACGGGCAGACUAGAGUGAUGUAGGGGAGACUGGAAUUCCAGGUGUAGCGGUGAAAUGCGUAGAUAUCUGGAGGAACACCGGUGGCGAAGGCGGCAUCCUGGACCGGCAUUGACGCUGAGGAGCGAAAGCCAGGGGAGCAAACGGG
rnacentral:rRNA from 1 species